rnacentral:rRNA from 1 species
UGCGCAGGCGGCCCGAUAAGUCAGGGGUGAAAUAUGACGGCUCAACCGUCAAACUGCCCCUGAAACUGUCAGGCUUGAGUCCGGGAGAGGUUGGUGGAAUUCCAGGUGUAGCGGUGAAAUGCGUAAAUAUCUGGAGGAACACCGGCGGCGAAGGCGGCCAACUGGCCCGGUACUGACGCUCAGGCACGAAAGCAUGGGGAGCGAACG